UUAUGAACUGAAUGGCAAAGACCUUUGUGGUGAGCGAGUAAUUGUUGAGCAUGCCCGCGGCCCACGGCGAGAUGGCAGUUACGGUUCUGGACGCAAAUCCUUUGAGGCUAAGAUGACUGCCUGUUCCAUUUGCUGACCUUGGGUUACCUUUCCAUGCGUGGCUCUUUGAACCAUUGUGGCCCUUGGCUGACCAAAAACAGGAAGCCAUGUGACGACCGCAACCUUUCCCCAUUAGACCUGGGUGGUGAGGAUCCCAAGGGUUAGACACAGAUGAGAUUAAACUGAAAUAGGUGGAUAUGGUUAUAGAAGAAGUGGCCGAGAUAAAUAUGGCCCUCCUACUCGCACAGAGUACAGACUUAUUGUGGAGAAUUUGUCAAGUCGGUGCAGCUGGCA
rnacentral:lncRNA from 1 species